CCACGCCACAGUGGAAAAUGACCGUGGGCCCCACGGCUUCAGAGUCCUAGCCGCAGGGUCCACAGCGCGGCAGAUGGGGACCCAUACCCAAGGCCCCGGGCCGUGAAGGAGGCCUGCCAGACUCGGCACAGCGGGGAGGGCCGUGUGCCCGGCACAGACACUCUCUGGGGCAGCCCCCGCCUCCAGGAUGCACCCUGGUACCCACUGCAGGCGAGUCAACUCUGGUCCGACAGCCUCCAUCCUCUGCGCUCGAGAGCUGGACUCUAAGGAUGCCUCUAGUCGUGCCCAGUGAGUCACUUCGUAUCACCACAUGAGCCAGUGCCACCUCCCACCUUCCUCCCCGUGAAGAUGUUCACCUGAGUCAGCACACCACACAUUCACUAGGGUAAGGUCAUGAGGGGGUUGGAGGGGAAAAUGCCCCCUUUAGAGGAAGAGUGCCUUUCCAUGAAAUACAAGGUCUCUGAGCCUCAGUUUGCCUUCUCUGUGAAAUGGGGCUACUCUGUCUUACCAGACCAUGCAGCUGCCAAAAACAGGCAAAGGGUGAGCAAUCCCUUUGCAGACUCUACCUUGAAACUGUGGUGGGUGCAGGUAAUACCGAAUAACAGCUCUGGGGCCUCUGUUUUCUCCAUGUUUCUGCAGUCUCUAAGGGACCCCGUCUGCCUUUACUACCCUGCCGGAGGGCCUCCCUCGCCUCCCGCGUCCCCAGAGCUCAGCCACAGGCAGAGGCCAGCCCAGGGGAACCCGAAGACACGGUCUCCUCCCCCGUACCCAAGGGCCUGCAGAGAACAGGCUCUGAAGUGCUCGCCAGACACCCCAAGUCGGUCCCGGGGAAGAGGGUCUGCGCAACCGACACGGGGACGCAGCCCACGGUCCUCCUGUGCCCUUAUUAGGCGCUUACUGCACACCUGGCCCCGUUCUUUCAGAAGCGCAGCCCGAGCAUUUCUAAGAAAGAGGAAAACCAUAGCCCAGAGGAGGAGGAAGUCUUCUAAAGAGGGGCCCGCGUCCGCAGUGGGGACAGCGCCUCCCGGUUGCCCGAGAGGUUCAUGGACCUCUGCUCUGGGCCACCAACCCCCAAGAUGAAGAUAGCAAGAUUGGUGCUUCUAGGCGCUGAAUGAAACUGGGAAGUGACUUGCGAGGUGGAAAAUCCCAUCUCCUGACCAGGAGUCUGGGAAAUUACCUGGUUCCCAAACAUUUCUGAGAGAUAGGCCACGCUGAGGGUGCGGCUAGCACAGCCCACAAACUUGACUCUGAUAGAGAGUCAGCCUGUAAAACUAGCAUGAAGGUUUCUUCUGGCCCUUACUAGUCUCGCCUGACAGUUUUGAGGACUCCCUGAUCUGGAAGAGAGAGCCAAAGACCAGGAAUGGGGUGUCACCUGGUGGAUGCAGGGGCAAAUGGUUCUCCAUGGAUGACCCACAUACCUCUCAAACCCAGUGGGUCCCGCUGGCUCAUCUGAUGGCUCCCCAUCCCAGUGAAGGGCAUCUUCACCACCCAAACAUGGGGAUCUUCUGGGACCCCACCUUCCAUCCCAACUCCAUCAGUGGACCCAAGGGUGGGUGACAGCCAAGUCAAGAGAAAAUCAAACCUCUGCCUAGGGAGUCUAUCAAAGGUAUUUAUUUUUUUAAGUUUAUUUAUUU